AUUACCUCAGUUUUUUUUUUUCUGACAAUGCUUCUGGCUUCCCUCAAGUCUGUGUGCAAAUAACAAUGUGACUUUCAUGAAUUUCUAUAGGUAA